UGUAUGUGUGUUUGUGAAUUGUCUUUCUUAUGAAUAAAUAUUACAAGUUAAUAAGUUAAUUUUAUGGAAAAGUCAUAUUUCUUUUUUUGUUAUACUCUUAGCUAAUGAGCGGAUAUUUCGUUUGAAGUCUACUAAAUAUUUACGGAGCAAACUUCGUGACGACUGUUUGAUAAUCUUAGUUAUACAUUACAAGGAUGAAAGAUAAGAAUUUUUCUAUGUACAAGGUGAUUUCCAAAAUAAAGUCUGAGUCCCAAUUACCGAAUCAUCUUG
rnacentral:lncRNA from 1 species